AGAGUCAUACGUUAGCCAGCUACGGCGGCCCCGAGUCAUGCGUCAUCACCCGCGAGGGUGAGGGCGAAGCGUUGACAGGGGUACGCGCAGGCCGGGUAUCGAGCCGCGUAAUCCAUGCCCCGCGACUUCGGUCGCGGGAAGUCCGGGGUGCCGAGGAUGUGGAGACAUUCCGAAGACCACACCGGAGCUGCCGCAAUGGCUUGGCAGCUUCGGACCCCGCGCGGUCACAGACCC
rfam:Variovorax sp. WDL1 contig_236, whole genome shotgun sequence.